GGUUGGGUGGGGGUGGCCGCAGCGGGGAGGGUUGGAAGUGGCAGCGGCUACGACGGGGAGGGUUGGAAGUGGCGCGGGCCGCGGCGGGGAGGGUUUGAAGUGGCGGCGGACGUAGGGAGGCCGCGACGGGGAGGGUUGGACGUCGCGGCGGACGUAGGGCGCUUUCGGGGCCGGGGGCCUCUCGGCGCGGGGCUUGAAGGCCAGCUUAGACUGGCCUAGGGCCGCUACAGGAGGCGGGACCGCUGCGCUCGCGAGGGAAAGGACCGAGGUGCGUAGGGGCACGGUAGGGGAAGGGACCUAGGAACUGCUCGAGGCUGCGGCGCAGUUCCUUCCGGCUCCAGCAGCGGAGUUGGCGGUGGGGAGGGAGAGGGCGUAGUUUUUCGGGGUCGCUGCGCGCGGCGGCGCUGCGGCGGGUGGUCGGUCUAGUACACGGCGGCGGGUGGUGAUCCUGGAGUGCGGCGGCGGGUGGUGGUGGCCCUACAGGGGGAGACGCGCGCCUAGGCCAGAACGGGCUCGAGGGGGGCCCUACCUCCUUGUGUACCGUCUCCGUGGUGGUGGCCCUCCUCGUCUUGUUCCACGCGGCCGUGGUCCUCGUCGAGUGGCGCGGAGUGGACCUGUGGAGGAGGGAAGAGAAAGGUUGUCUCGCAGGGCGUCGGUGCGUGGGGUGGCAGCCGCGGCGAGGAGUGGAGACCGCAGCGGUUCUCGGAUGUGGUGGAGCCCGGAAGAGGGUGUGUCGGUCACCGCCGAAGGAGAAGGAGGUCGACGAGCGCGGGGAGGCGCCUCCUGAGAGCGAUAGCGGAAACGUUGGGGACGGAGUCGUAGGUAGCAUCCACUGGAAGAGACCGAACAGACUAGCUGGAAGGGUAGCAGAGAAUGAACUUGUAGACUUAACAACGACGAGGAGACACAUUUAGACGACGAUCUACUUCUGGUACAUUUAGACUUGCAAGAUUUAGGCGAUGUGAUGAUACCAACGAGACACAACACGGGAAAACGACCCACUUCGACAACAAUAAACCAUCGAAACGGUAUCCGACGAUGUCGUGAACCUCGAACCUUAGCUAAACAAGUAAUCCACACAUGAACCUGACAGCUAUCCAUCGAGACUACAAACAAAGAUGUUAUAACAAACGUUAAGUCAUUACAACCAUACUUACGAAGAGACAAGAAGCAGAAUAUCAUACAAUUUAUUUGUUAACCCAGACGUAUUUUUUUCUCAGGGCAAGAUUAAAACUAAUCGACAAGUAAACUAUACAACAAUUUUUUCUUAAUACCUCGUCAAUUUGGUCUCGUAGUAGUGGUUGUCUCGUCAAUUUUGUAGGCGAGUACCUAUGUUGAUAUCUUCCUCGUCCACUUAAUGAAGAACAAUCAAUCUUGACUACGGAAUAAGAAGUCGGACAAAAGUAGAACUUGAUGACGCAUGAACGAUAAUCUCCUCACUUUGGUCUCGUACACCGACAAACUAGUCGUCAAUUAAGAAGUACCCGUAUACGAGUCAGUGAUCGGUCAUCAUCAGGUCAAUACAAAAGAUUUAGUAUAUGUUGCAAAACAGAAUAAAGGGAGUGGUGAAAGUCCAUUUUUUUCUCUCAAAAACUACCGAGUUAGUUUUUAUACGUGAACGUGAUCUUUAUGUACCUGAUCACUAAACACCUUGAACUCGAUGUCUCUUAACUCGGGGGUGUGCGGCGGUGGGGUAGGCGGCGACACUGUUCGUUGGGACCCUAACGGUGCUGGAGCCGGUAAUGUAUGUCAGAUCUUCAAUCGAAUAAAAAAGAGCCGCUCCGGAAAAAAAGAACACAGACAAACCAAACACUUAAAAACGAUGAUGAUUGUCCCAUAUCUUGUCGGAGACUUGAAGAUACAAAAAAGAUGUCCACAAGUAAGAUACCGAUCAUUGGAAAACUACGGUGACAUAUGGUGUUAUGUAUCCUGUCCGACAAGUGUAAUAGUGGGGAGCUUUUCGAGGAUUGGAUCAAGUCAACACAUUUAAGCUACAGUUGGUCCACGAACUAUUAACAACUUGAUCACAAUAUGAAUCAACUUAAUAUUAUACACCCGAGACGCGACGACGGGUUGACGGUGUGAUCUAAGACACAACUCUCUCAUUUUUCAAUUAAGAACCACAAAACAUAUUCAAGGAUCGAUGAUGCCGAUGUGAAAUAAAACCUAAGAGC
rnacentral:rRNA from 1 species